rnacentral:rRNA from 1 species
AUUGAACGCUGGCGGCAUGCUUUACACAUGCAAGUCGAACGGUAACAGGCCGCAAGGUGCUGACGAGUGGCGAACGGGUGAGUAAUGCAUCGGAACGUGCCCAGUCGUGGGGGAUAACGCAGCGAAAGCUGCGCUAAUACCGCAUACGAUCUAUGGAUGAAAGCGGGGGACCGAAAGGCCUCGCGCGUUUGGAGCGGCCGAUGUCAGAUUAGGUAGCUGGUGGGGUAAAGGCUCACCAAGCCAACGAUCUGUAGCUGGGCUGAGAGGACGACCAGCCACACUGGGACUUAGACACGGCCCAGACUCCUACGGGAGGCAGCAGUGGGGAAUUUUGGACAAUGGGCGCAAGCCUGAUCCAGCAAUGCCGCGUGCAGGAAGAAGGCCUUCGGGUUGUAAACUGCUUUUGUACGGAACGAAAAGGCUCUGGUUAAUACCUGGGGCUCAUGACGGUACCGUAAGAAUAAGCACCGGCUAACUACGUGCCAGCAGCCGCAGUAAAAC